rnacentral:rRNA from 1 species
AGUGAACGCUGGCGGUAGGCCUAACACAUGCAAGUCGAACGGCAGCACAGUAAGAGCUUGCUCUUACGGGUGGCGAGUGGCGGACGGGUGAGGAAUACAUCGGAAUCUACUUUUUCGUGGGGGAUAACGUAGGGAAACUUACGCUAAUACCGCAUACGACCUACGGGUGAAAGCAGGGGAUCUUCGGACCUUGCGCGAUUGAAUGAGCCGAUGUCGGAUUAGCUAGUUGGCGGGGUAAAGGCCCACCAAGGCGACGAUCCGUGGCUGGUCUGAGAGGAUGAUCAGCCACCCUGGAACUGAACCACGGUCCAGACUCCUACGGGAGGCAGCAGUGGGGAAUAUUGGACAAUGGGCGCAAGCCUGAUCCAGCCAUACCGCGUGGGUGAAGAAGGCCUUCGGGUUGUAAAGCCCUUUUGUUGGGAAAGAAAAGCAGCAGGUUAAUACCCAGCUGUUCUGACGGUACCCAAAGAAUAAGCACCGGCUAACUUCGUG